AACUCUGAGCAGUGGAUCACUCGACUCAGAACUUGAUGAAGAACGCAGAUAGCUGCGAGACUUGGUGUGAACUGCAGGAUACACUGAGUGCUGAUUUUUCAAAUGCGCAUUGCGGUCUCGGGUGAUACCCGGGACCUCGCCUGUCUAAGAGUUG
rnacentral:rRNA from 1 species